rnacentral:miRNA from 1 species
CAAGCCAGGCUCUCUACUUCCGCUUCCCUCCCUAACACGCUCCAGCAGAGACGUGUUAGGGAGGGAAGCGGAAGUAGAGAGCCUGGCUUG